AGCAGCCGCGGUAAUUCCAGCUCCAAUAGCGUAUAUUAAAGUUGUUGCAGUUAAAAAGCUCGUAGUUGAAUUUCGGGGUCAGCAAGUUGGUCGUGCCACUGGUAUGUACUGGCUUUGCUGAUUCCUCCUUCUUGUAGAACCGUAAUGCCAUUUAGUUGGUGUUGCGGGGAAACAGGACUGUUACUUUGAAAAAAUUAGAGUGUUUAAAGCAGGCUAACGCCUGAAUACAUUAGCAUGGAAUAAUGAAAUAGGACGAGCGAUCCUAUUUUGUUGGUUUCUAGGAUUGACGUAAUGAUUAAUAGGGAUAGUUGGGGGCAUUAGUAUUCAAUUGUCAGAGGUGAAAUUCUUGGAUUUAUUGAAGACUGACUACUGCGAAAGCAUUUGCCAAGGAUGUUUUCAUUAAUCAAGAACGAAAGUUAGGGGAUCGAAGACGAUCAGAUACCGUCGUAG
rnacentral:rRNA from 1 species